UUCCCAUGCGCUUGAGCACGCGGCUUUUUUUUUAUUAUUUGUGAUUUCGCGCUUAAUAAAAUAAUAAUAAUACGAAUUAGCAAUGGGUGAUUAGUGUUUAAAUGUGUUUUUUAUUGUUUUCAAAGCAUACAUAGGUUUUUGGUCGCGUCGCUUAAAUCUCGUGUGUGUGUGUGUGUAAGUGAAAUGCGCAGCAGCCCAGCAAAGGGUUUUUUGUUGUUUAUUUUGAUUAAAACAAUAAAAAGCGGUUAAAUAUGAAUAUUUAGUGGUUUUGUUGAAAUAAAGUGUGCUUUAUUUAAUGUAAAAUGAUCAACACACGUGAAAUUGUGAUGGCGCAAGGGGCCUGUAUGUAAUAACUGUGUAUAUAUGUACAUAUGUACAUAUAUACAUAUGUACGCCCUUUACGUAUUAAGUGUGUAUUUGCGUAUAAAAUCAAUCUUCCAACCACUUGAAGGUUGAUUUUCAUCAUCUUUUGGCACAGAUGGUUAAUAUUACAUUUGUCACAAUAUAUGGAGAGCCAACCAUAGAAACUCAUUCAUAGUCUGUGCAUCAUCGACGACGACGACUGCCCCGGCAUCAGGGGGCAUCAAAGUGGAAUUGGAUUCAUCUGGAAGAGGCGGGUCAUAAUUGAAGAUAUGAUGCUCCAUGCCCCAUGCCCCAUACCCCAGCCAUGAGCAAAGGUGACACCAAAGGGAAGACCUUCGACUGGCAAUAAAAUAAAUGCCAUUUACUGAUGAGUCAUCAGCAUAAUUUUUACGAUUUGUCCCAUUCGAUGAAUAAACAAAUAAACCAAUGGACACGGGAGCUGGGACCCGGGACUCAGGACCCUCUGGAUUGGACUCUAGUUUGAGCGUGUCACGAAAACAUUUCGCAUGCAUUGACUUUUUAUGGCAGCCCCAAACCGAGUGAACCGAACGCACGAAUCGAAAAGCCACAUGGACCGACGAGAGAGAGAGGCGGAGAGGGGCACACAGAGAGGGGUAUCCACAAAUAAUGCAAAAUCAUUUAGUGGAACUCCUAGGCACACACACCGUACAGAUGCUCGCACCCCCCUCCCGCCUCAAAGUCAUAAAAUCCGGCACCGAAUGAAAUUCUCAUCAAGACGCAAGUUGGCACAAUUUCAGUUUGGCGCUGAAGCAACUUGAAAACACGACCAAAAUGAGCCCGAAUCGCAGUAGGAGUCGUUGCCACAGCCCACAGGACUCUCGGCAGUGGUCAGGCAUGGGGCCAGCAUCGUGCUGCUGCCGCUGCCGCUGCUACUCCUGCUCCUGGCAAUCGCGCGUGACUAACGUAAUCAGCUCACGUAACGCCUGAAUGAGAUGAGAUGAAAUCAGCAUACACUCCGGGCCACGCAGGACUAUGCUCUCCUACGCUGCCGUCGCUCCGCACCGAUUCCGACUGCAUAAAUGUCGAAUUUAUACGAAAAUGAAGCGGCGCAGGCCAUUCGACCAGCUGCUGGGGCAUCAUUCACACGGCCACCAGAUGCUUUGAGGGGACUAACGGCUCCGAAAAUGGCAAUUUCCAUUCGAGAGAGAUCGUAGCGGGGGUCCAAGAAGGAACAGAGUAUCUGUUUUUGGAUGAUUAUCGAGUCUUUAAGUCUUAAUCCCAAGGAUUACUGUACACUCGGAGAGCCAAGAAUCCUAACAACUGCAUUACAUUGAAUGCCCCGCCCGAAGGCGACUAAAUUUAGUUGGGAAAUUUAUGGCAAUUGCUCAAGCAAAGCAUUAAUCCCAUUUAAAUGUCCUCCGACUUGUGGAAUCAACAGGCGGUUGCAACACAAUCACAACCUAAUGCAUCCGCCGAGGCAGAGAGUGAGAGAGAGCGAGAGAGAGAAAGGAAGGAAGGAUGUACCAGAGCUGCAGUCGGUCGUCCCCCUCCUGUUUUCUGGGGGGUUCCUAAUGUAUGAUUAUGUCCGAAACACAAAGCAUACGCCAAGGACAACGAGGAGGAGGUGGCAGAGUGUGGAGUGCGGAGUGUGGCUGGCGAUUGGUCAACGAGGCGAGGCGAGGCGAGGCGAGGCGUUGUGUUGCAUCCUCCAUGUAAGCAAAGUACCGUCCGCCCGGUUCAGCCCCAUUUAUUUGCAUCCGAAAUUUGCACAUGUUCAAAUCGAGAUUUACGACGGCGAGUGACAUCAUUAAUCAAGCGCCUGAUUGGUGAUCCUGUUCCUGUUAAUUAAUACAAUAAUGGAUUGCGUGGCUUCUACCAGGGGACGACUCUCUUCGGAGUCCUUCGAAAGACGACAAAAGGCUGCUGCUUCGCAGGAUUUACGGCAAACGGAGAAGGCAAGUGCGCACCGCAAGUGCGUGUAGCCGGCCAAAAAGGAUAAAAGCUAGAACUUACAGGACAGCAAAGGAAAAAAGACUAACGCAUCUCCUUCCACCGCCUGAAACAUUGAUUUAAAAUUUACAACGGUCAUGGCAAAGGUUGCUGCAACAUGGCCAUAUGUUGCAUUGAUUUAUCAUUGGGAUAGGCGAUGUGGCAGCCAAAAUGGAAAUCUGUUGCAGCUGCUACCGGUACACUGUCUCCUAGAUAAAUUCUCAGCCAAAACAAAACAUCAGAGCAGGUGAUGGGAUGGGAUGGGAUG
rnacentral:sRNA from 1 species